rnacentral:rRNA from 1 species
CACGUAGGCACCAAGCGUUGUCCGGAUUUAUUGGGCGUAAAGAGCUCGUAGGCGGUUCAGUAAGUCGGGUGUGAAAACUUUGGGCUUAACCCAAAGCGUGCAUCUGAUACUGCUGUGACUUGAGUUCGGUAGGGGAGUGGGGAAUUCCUAGUGUAGCGGUGAAAUGCGCAGAUAUUAGGAGGAACACCGGUGGCGAAGGCAGCCUUCUGGGCCAACACUGACGCUCAUGCACGAAAGCGUGGGGAGCAAACAGG